rnacentral:rRNA from 1 species
GAUGAACGCUGGCGGCGCGCCUAACACAUGCAAGUCGAACGAUUAAAGCACCUUCGGGUGUGUAUAAAGUGGCGAACGGCUGAGUAACACGUGGGCAACCUGCCCCUUUCAUUGGGAUAGCCACGGGAAACCGUGGAUAAUACCGAAUACUUCGAGACUUCCGCAUGGAAGACUCGAGAAAGCUCCGGCGGAGAGGGAUGGGCCCGCGGCCUGUUAGCUUGUUGGUGGGGUAACGGCCUACCAAGGCAAUGACGGGUAGCUGGGUUGAGAGGCCGACCAGCCAGAUUGGGACUGAGACACGGCCCAGACUCCUACGGGAGGCAGCAGUGGGGAAUCUUGCACAAUGGGCGAAAGCCUGAUGCAGCGACGCCGCGUGCGGGAUGAAGGCCUUCGGGUUGUAAACCGCUUUCAGCAGGGACGAGGCGAAAGUGACGGUACCUGCAGAAGAAGCCCCGGCUAACUACGUG